GGGGGCGGUGCGCAGCAAGAUGGCGGCGCCGCGGUGGCGGUGAGCGGAUUUGGGCCGGCCGGCCUUCGCACAGCCCUGCUGAGGGCCGCCGCGACCCCGCAGCGCCGGGACGAGACCCAGCGGCGCCCGAAACAUCGGGUUCGGGGCGGGAUCUCCGGCUCUGGCCCUUUGUCGGCGCCCCUGAGCGAGCUUUGUGGCGGAACGUGCGGGGUUCCUCACGGAAGCGCCGCUGAGCGAAGGCCGUGGCGCUGCAGGAGGUCCGCUCGGCGCACAGCCGUGUGCUGGCGGCUCCUUGAAGCUGGCUUAAAAGGUUUUUCCCUUUCAGGUCCAUGGGGCAUUUGGGAAAGUGGCAGCACAAGAGGGGAAGAGCCUGGAAGAGUGGCAGAACGAACUGUACGAGGAGGAGGUGAUGAAGGAAGAUUGCAGAUCUCUGGAAUCUGCAGACAACGGCCUCUAUUUUUUGUACAACUCUGAUCUGAUAAAAAAAGAGUGUGCUGUGCACUGCAUCAGAAGGAAUCAGCUAGAGAAAAAGAAGUGUGUGUCAGCAAGGCAGUGAGGAGCGACUGAUGGCACACUGCACCAGGCAGCUGAGGUACACUUGUGGCUGUAUUCAGUUCAAGACCUUCCACUUGUGAACACUUGAGUUUUCAAUCUUCUAGUUAUGAUUUCUGGAAUUAAAAAUGGGAAGACAAACACUGCUUCUCCUGUUCCUAGCUCUCCCCUUAGGUGCCAGGGCAGCUGUGGCAGUCAUUUGCAGCCAUCUCCUCGUUGGACCCAUCUGCAGAGGAAAAGGGAGAGGUGCAUUUAGA
rnacentral:lncRNA from 1 species